UCUGUGGACUCUUGCCCGAGUACACGGCGGCGAAGUCCUGACUCCCUUCGUUGGUGGGAGCUCGGCCGCGGAGGGGAAAGUAAAAUUGCUUUCCACAUUCCAUUCGAUGUAACAUUUGUAUGGACGCAGAAGAAAAGUUAGGCAGAAAAGAAACUUUUUGAACAGCCAGAGUCAACAAAGUGUGUUUGCAUAGCUCUGUAAUCGAUACCCAUGAAGCGAAACGAUCCGGAACAUUUGUUUCCUGUGAGUCCUUUGUUUCAUGAUGUAUCCACAACAACAACAACAGCGAUCACUUUGCUACCUUUAAUGCCCCAGGCAGAACCAAGGUACAAGGCUGCCGUAAAGACAGGGACAACGUGCACGGUACAGAGAAAAUCUCG